rnacentral:lncRNA from 1 species
UCCGCGGCAUGCUUUCCUCCUCACGCAGAGCAGCAAUGUUCUCUUUCUUCCUCGUUUUUUCCCUCACCGCCUGCUUUUUUUUCCUCCACAGCUUCCCUCCUGGCUGCCUCUCACCGCCGGCCUGUAAAUAGCAGAUGCCGAGCUGCCAGGCCACCAUCCUCGUCGUCCGGACACCAUUCUCAUCGGGGGGCGCCAUCUCCAUCAGACAGGAAGGGUACUUCCGCGAAUUAGCUGCGGAGGAGGUGGAGAAGCCGGGCAAGCCAAUUUUUUUUGGCUCGCGAUGUGCAGUACAAAUCCUUGAUCGGCUUUUGCACAGCUUCAGCAGUGAAGCCUUUUUCAAACCAACCGUUUGGUGCAGCUUGUCCUGAAGCCGCUGCAGAAGAUGUUGAGGAAGCCGUGCAAAAAAGCUCCUAAUAUUUACAUGUACACAUGUUUUUAUAAAUAAUUAUGGAGGAGGUGAACUAUUAGAUAAAGUAAUAUUAUUUCAGUGUGAUGCUAAUCUUGAGCAAGCUUUAAUAUACAGA